CACCAGCUGCUGGAGGAGUGUGGCUUCACAGUAAGGAAAUUUUCUGAUACUUUCUCUUAUGAUCUUUUCUUGAUAUACGGGAAAGCCAUCAGAAGCUCGGCCUUUUAACAAGCUGAAAGAUAUUUUUUAUAAAGUAACUGAAGUUGAAUCUCAAAGCAUUUCCUCCCAACUGAACCCAUGAACUUUUAGUUUCUUUGCUACUUAAGAUUUUCAUGGUCUCUUCAAAUCAUGAGGAUAGACUAAUUCAAACUGCUGUUCUACCUGCAUGUUAGGCUAGCCCAUAUCAGGUUUACAGGCCCUGAUAUGUAUUUAUAAAAGUGACCCCUGCCAUAAAACACACUAACCACCGUUACCGGAUUAGCUAGUUACUUAUUACCAUGCCAGUUAUUUGUACAAAGUGUGAAAACUCUCAUUAAGUUACACCCUUCUGACAUAGUCCACUUUUCUCAGUAAAACUAUGGAGGAAUUUGACCCUUGGUGGUCAGAGAACAAGGAUAACAUGCAGCUCUCCCAGGUUCAGUAAUGGAGAUAAGCUGAGCACCAUUAUGAAUCCAGAGCCACAACCUACGGCAUGGCAUACCCAUCCUCAAAGUUGGACUUGGGUUACUUUCUACCUUUUACACAUCUACUUAACUUCUCCAAACUUCAGAUUCCUCACCUGUAAACUGGGGAUAACAAAAACAUCAUUGAAAAAGUAAAGUACUGAAAAAUCACUCAAUCUAAAUAUAGCAUUGCCUCUUAUUUCCUACAGACUAUGAACCCAACAAUAACAACUGCUGCUAAAAUGCUUAAUAUUUUAAUCUAUAAUGAGUCUUCAUAUAACAAAACAUUAUCCAUUUGGGUAUAUUUUACACAUGACAUGGGAGAAACAGUACCUUUUGAUCAGAGUGUCCAGUUUAUUCUCUCCAUCUUUUAAGAAGUUAAUGCAUUUCUGAAAGAUACAGCUGAUGUAAUGCAUUUUCAUAGCCAAUACUUCAUUCAUGUCUCUUUGCUUCAUACAUUUCUCACAAAUUAAAUCCAUCACUUUGUAGCAUUUAUUCAGAGCGGUUUCUUCUGCCAGCAGAGGAUUCUCAUUUAUAAGCAUCACGAUCUAGAAGAAAUUCCAAUGACCUUAGAAAUUCCAUGAGAGGCUUUUCAUUGUACAAAUUAGAUUUUUAGUUUUGGUUGAUUUCAACAGAUAACCAAAUAAAAUCUUUCUUAGGGUUAUACAUUUACUAGGUUAAUUCAAAUUAGAAUGCAAAUUGCCAAUGAUCAAAGUGAAAAAACUAAUAUAGAAGGACCCUGGCAUCAUGAGAGUUCUUGAAAUCUGUAUAUAUAAGCUGUCCCAUGAUCUGUCAUCAGGCUGAACCAGGUGUUAGUAUUCCACUGAGAGUUAUGGCUUUAGAUUCUCUGUUAAAAGCACUUUUACUAAAGCUAAACACAGCAUAUUUACAUAUGCUUUAUAUACAGAAUCAAUUCAAGCAAUCACUACUUAUAGCUAACAUUACUAGAAUUUCACAGCUAGGAGUACUAUAAUUCUCAUUCAUUCUUAUUAAUUCUAAGGAAAUGAAAUUUUAAAGGAACUAAGUCUAAAAAUAAAAAGUGUAUUACUUUCCAAUUAACUAUAUUUCUCUGUGGAAAUUUUUAUGAUAUGCUUCUAAUCUUCUAUGGUGAUGAGAAUAGGUCAAAGAGGAAAGCAAAAAUAGCCUUAAAAAGAGGAAUAUUAGAGAGUUAUCAAAUAUGAUGCAUUAUGAGUCCCACACAUCUUAUAUAUGCACAGAUUAAGUACAAAAUCAGUGUAAGGAGUAUUUUUUACUGGCUUUGUAAUCGGAUAAUUACCUACCUGAAGGUCUGCACAGGGUAUGACAUAACAGUAAUGUAAACACAUGCAUAACAUGGGCACAAUUGUAUUCACAGAGAAGUCAGUGUUUGUUAACCUAUGUGUUACAGCUAACUACCUAUCCUGGGUAAUGUAAAUGUCAGGGAAUUACAGAUAGCAGAUUUCAUGAAUUAGAUCCUUUUCUUCAGACAUGAAGAAAGACCAUUUGUUAACUUAUGUAAAUCCCAUGCCUAGUCUCCUACCUGGAAAUUUAACAUAGAUUAAGUAUUCUUGUGAAAUCAAAAUAUUAUUUGUACUUAUUUUUGAUACUACUAGAUUAAUAUAUAAUCUAAUAUUUUACUUAAAGUAUAGCACUCAAAAAUAAAUGAGGGGUCAAGAAAUAAGUAUAAUGAAAAGCCUUGUUGAUAAAUUUGCCGAUGACUUAUCAAAAAUUAACUUUUGGCAGGGAAGGCUCAUUAAUUACAUGUUUAUAUUUCUACUGUCAACUGCCACCAUUUGAAACUAUUCAAUAUUUUUGUGUAAAGCAUUUAUUAUCAAACCAUAGGAUGUUAAACUUAAAAGUAAAAACUUAAAAAAAAAUCUCAGAACCCAGACUAAUGAUUUUUUCUUUGUUAUGACAGUAGGCUUUAUUUCAUAAUAUGCACCACUAUACCUAAAGAAAAAUGAUAUACAACUACAGCUUUACUAUGAGCUUACUGAAACAUUUCAUAGAUACACACAAAAGAAUAAUAUUUGAACUAGUUUCCUUCCUUUAAUCUCUGUAGCAUUAUAAAGCCAUCCAUUAUAAAGAAAAUCUCAUUAUUAAUUAGUGAAGAGAAAUAAACAUAUUCCAUUAAGCAUAAAAGCCUGAUACCACUCAUCUCCCAAAGAACGUUAGAAUAUAUUCAUACAGUGGCAUUUUGAAUUAUUUUUAUUUUUUAAAUACCUUUAAGAAAAAAUUAUCAAACCAACGAUUCUGGGCUUAAAAAGUUAAUAAUCAAAGACAGGAUCACUUGGGUACAUCUGUCUCCUGACUACUUAGGGACCCUGCUCAAUUCUGUUGUAAUUUUUUCUGUGAUUCUGUUUUUUUUUUCCCCUAUAACCUCUGUAUUCCAGGCAUCAGCACAAUUCCCAGAGUCCCUGUUGAAAACAAACAUCCUUAAUGCUACAAGAGCCAUUUACCCUUGACGCAAAUGCAGCUGUGUUAAGUGCACUGUAGUGAAAAGGUGAAUUGUGUAUCGAGGAAGAUUUCUGUGCUGCUUUUUAAAAGGUUCACAACAAGUGUUACCUCCUGGGGUUCUUUCAGGAUGUGUAGUAAAACAUUUGAGUUUUGAAAUAAAAAACAGAAUAGACUCCACUAGUCUAUCUUAUGGAAGAGGAUCUGCUAGUUUGUCAUCCUUCUUGCUGGCCAAGAAAACUCAUUUGGGUGGAAUGCCAUAUGACAGGUUUCAACUGAGAGCACCCACCCCUUCACUGUAACAACUGAACAACAGGCCCCAUUUCAAGCUCCACAUCGGCAAGAUCCAACCAAGACGACGAUGAUCUUAUAUAAUUAAGAGCAGUUUAAACUCUGAAGCAAUAUUUAAAUAAAAAGCAAACACUACCUUGA